GUUGGACACGAAUACCAUACGACGCUCUUUUCGGAACAAAUUACCUAGCCAAGAACCAAGUUACAUGGACAUUGAUCAGAUGACAGAUGUAACAGAAUUAUUGCCGGCGGAUAUUCGUAUGUCAAAAGAGGAAUUUAAAGAAUUAAUAAAAAAACUAAAAUUUACUGAAGCGCAAUUGGACGAAAUUUAUGAUGCGGUACUAGAAGAUUCUGUAGCCACAGCCCCAGUUCGAGCAAGAUUUUGCUUAAUCAAAAAACGCGUGGGAAUGAAUCAUCAACUACAUG